UCUCUAUAUAUACGUGGGUCGUCCUCUGAAUCUCCUACUUUGGCUACGCAUUUCUUGUUUUCGUUUUCUUUGUUCGCUUUGCUACCAUGGCUUAUGCUAGGUUGCGAGAGGUAUCUCCAAUAAGCAAAAAUUGGUGCAUCCGUGCUCGUGUAGCGCGGAUGUGGGAGCACUGUGGUGGUCGUGACGGGUUGCCUCCUUUGCAUGUGGAUUUGGUUCUUGUCGACGAUGAGGGUGAUGUCAUGUACCCGGAGGGUGCUGGACGCGAUGCUGACGUCAUCAAACGUGCUGUGAAAGAAGGCGGCGUCUGCACGUUCACUAAAUUUCUUGUAGUCAACAUGAAGCCUUCUUACAGUCCUUUUUGUGCGAAAUAUAUGAUCAAAUUGACUCCUUGGACCAAGAUGGUUUCGGUUUCUAUGUCUGUUGAUUCAUUUCCAUGAUUUGUUUUUCACAUCUCUCCGUCGUCAGACCUUUCAGGUCGAGUUGGGAGCCAGAUAUACUUUACAGAUGUUCUAGCUAUGGUGGUCGCCGUAUCUACUGUUACCUACGUGCGUGUGGCUGCAAGUUCGGUUGACACUGCAAGAAGGGUUGUUGUCCUCAGAGAUUUGAGUGGUUUUGAGGUUAAGCUUGUCUUGUUGGGAAGUCGUGCCACUGAGUUCGAUGCUGAAGCGGUCCACAAGCUUGGUCAAGAGCACGCUGUUGUUGGAAUAUUUGUUGGAACUUUGGUCAAAUCUUAUCGAGGUCAGUGAGUGUAGAAUUUGCUGCAUAACGUCAAUUUGUUUCCUGUUUAAGUACAAAUUUUCCGGCUGCUUCGUCUACUUCGUAGGUGAAGAGACAUUGACUGGUGGAUCAGCCUGUAAGUGGUACCUUAACGAGGAUAUAGCUGAAAUAGACGAAUUUUUUGAAAGGUUAGGUGAUGACUUCAGCAAAAUAGAGUGGGUUGACGACUUUGAGGAGAGUGACCAGCGUCUGCAAAAGAUUGAUCGUGCGGUGCCCAAAACAGUUUCUGAGCUUCGUGGUUUGGAUCCUUGGGAGAGUGAGUUAUUUUUGGGUGCAGGAUACGAAUUUUAUGUGCACUGUUACCAUAGUUAGGAUGAGUACUGGUCAACCUUGGUGGUUCCUAUCAUGCUCCAGGUGCCACAAGGCUGCUACUACCUGUGGAUCUGAAUACAAAUGUGCUGGUGGAUGCGUUAACACGACUGCUACUCCUAAGUACCGCCUUUGCUUGGUUGGAGCUGAUAGUUCUGCAGCUGCUGAAUUUGUACUUUUUGGAAGAGUAGCUCAACAAGUUAGUGGAAAACCUAUUGUACUUCUCAUGAGAAGCGAUGGAAUUCCACGUGAGAUUGCUGCGAUUGUGUCGCAGAAAUUCACGUUUGUUGUGUCCAUUAGUCAAAAGAGUUUGAUGCAGCGGGUCGUCUCUUUUCAAGUUAAUGUAUUGAUUCUUUUUUGGGGAGACAAGCUUCCAUACCUGACAUUGGAGGGUACGAUGACGCCGAAGGAGGGCUAUAAUCACCUUCUGUUAAUAUAAUACCAAAUAAAGAGGGGUCCACAUGUGCUGAAUCAGCUUCGUCUUCUAGACGUACUUCUUCGCGCCGUAUGCCUCUACGUGACGGCAACAAAGGUGGGCAGCAUGCGUGCUCUUUCACUUCUACUAUGGUUAGCUCAGGUAUAAGUGACCAAGCUGGGCAUACAUUAACAGACGGUACGAAAAGUUUAGGUGCUAGUGAUUCGCCACAAGACACCGAUUCUCUUCGUGGAGUUGGAGACAGUGAUCGUACUACCGUUGUUACAUUGGAUAAUGAUUUUCCGAUAAGUGGGAAUCCGAGCGAGAAGAAAGAAGAGGACCAGAAUGCUAAUGCUACAGAUGGGGACGGGCGCAAAAUGAAAAGCACAAGCAAGAAAAGACGAGUUGGUGCUCAAUCAGAUGCUUCUGAAACUAUGGCUGGGGCGAAAAAAAGGGAAUUUCUCCGUGAUGAAUGGGUUGAAAUAGGAAGAUGCAACAAUAUUUAAAGUACCCUAUAUGUAGUAAUUACGGAUCGGACGUGUGCCUUUAAAUUGUAUAUUUGGUACCAAGUACAGGCUGCUUGUGUGUGUUUCAUGUUGCUGUUGUAAUAUAUACUUUAAUGUUUGUUUGAUGCAGAAGUGGUAAUGUGUCUGAAUAUAUUUGAUUGUAUUUA